GCCCCGUUAGCUCAGUGGUCAGAGCGUGUCACGUCUUCUCUCUUCUCUCUACCUUAACCUAAAAUCUUCUUUCACUCCGACUCCGUUCUUAUAUACCUAAAAUCUUCUGGCAAGACACUGGUUCGAAUCCGGUACGGGGCA
rfam:Stachybotrys chartarum IBT 40288 unplaced genomic scaffold scaffold439, whole genome shotgun sequence.